UCGUUAUCCCUUCCCGCGCGCUCCCUCCCUAUCCAUCGCACUCCCUCCCUCCCGCCAUUGAUGUGGCCGUCGCCAUGGCUGCUUGGAGGCCGAGCUCUGCCUCCAUAUUCAAUAUUCCAUCCAUGAGCCAAAUUAAUCUAAUUCCUCACGGGGAUAGCAGCUCCAUGACCACCUCCCUCGAUCCCCUAACCCAGCCGGCCGAAUCCGCCACCGAAGAGACGUGCUGUCACACCAUGGUCGCCUAGAACAACUAACCUCGACCUCUCCGCUCGUUUGACGAGGAACGCAAAGUUGCCGCCACGGGUGCCGGUGGCCAUGUCGGCGAAUGUCGCCACCACAUUCUUCCUCGUCUCCGAAGAGCUCCAGUCACCAUCUACCCGCGCCAAGUGUGUCACUGUGUGUGCCUCGUAUUUCUGAACACCGUGGUAUGUUUCUUGGUUGCUGGUGAUCCUCGUAGUGCAGAACAUCGCCAUUCUAGACCUUUUGACCAUGGCACUUGGAGGCAGAGGAGGAAGAGGAGUUGCUGCUCGCGGUUGGAUUUAGAGAAGCUGUUGGAUUUCAUCAUAUUUUUGCUAGCUAUUUUGUUUUAUAUAAUAGCUAAAUCAGAAUUUUAGCUAUUCAUUUUUAGAGAAGUGGUUGGAGAUGCUCUUAGCGUGACUCUUGCCGAUGACAGCGAACUGUUUUGGCUCUCCUCCUUGGGUUAGAAUUUUGUAGCCCGUGGAGGCUAGCAAAGCUUGAAUUUUCU